rnacentral:rRNA from 1 species
CGGGGGGGCAAGCGUUGUUCGGAAUUACUGGGCGUAAAGGGUUCGUAGGUGGCUUGCUAAGUCAGACGUGAAAUCCCUCAGCUUAACUGGGGAACUGCGUCUGAUACUGGCGAGCUUGAGUGCAGGAGAGGAACGCAGAAUUCCAGGCGUAGCGGUGAAAUGCGUAGAUAUCUGGAGGAAUACCGGUGGCGAAGGCGGCGUUCUGGACUGCAACUGACACUGAUGAACGAAAGCCAGGGGAGCAAACGGGAUUAGAUACCCCGGUAGUCCUGGCCCUAAACGAUGAAUGCUUGGUGUGGCGGGUAUCGAUCCCUGCCGUGCCGAAGUUAACGCGUUAAGCAUUCCGCCUGGGGGAGUACGGUCGCAAGGCUG